GCAUACUUCCUCUGGCUAGAGAACACCUCCAGACAGAGUUGCUGGAAGCCCCUACACAUCCAGGAGGGUCGCAAAGGAGGGCUGGAGACAGCAUUUCAGCCUGCAAAGACCUCAUACCCCAGAGAUGAGAAGAGGCUGCUUCGUGGACAGUUCUGCUGCAUACCAUAUAACAAAACACACCCUGGACAUGCCCGUGAGGAGCGCAGCCUGAGAAGCAAAGAAAGACUUACCCAUGAGCUAGAUGUUGAACUUCUUCACUGAACAUGAAGAUUCUGAUGUGGUAAUGAUGAUAAUCAGAACUUGAGACAAGGUCUAAGAUGGAGUUAAUUAUAUUUGGGAGAUAAUUCCUGGAAGCAAAAAUGAGUAAUUGGGAAGAGAGAAAAGAGAACUUAUCAAAGGCAAUCCGAAUGCAUAAGUUAUUUGCUCACUACUGUGCAAUGGGACUCAUGUCUAAGUUA
rnacentral:lncRNA from 1 species